GACCUUCAAAGGUUGUCUAGUCCAACCUCCCUGCAACAAGCAAGAACAUCUUAAAUCAGAUCAGCAGAGGGCAAGAAGGUGCAGUCACAGGCCAAACUGUGCCAGUCUCAGACCGCCUGCUGUCGGGAUGAGAGGAUGACUAGGAGUAGAACAUCCCACCUCCACCGUUCCGGCCAGUGCACUCGUCACUGCAUUAUCUCAGGCCUUCUGAGGGAACAGUACUGCUCCUUUUCACUCUUUCCCGCUGAUGGCAUUGUGAGUCCCCAGGAUGCAAUAAAGGUCUACCUUCUUAUGCUUUAUUAGAGGCAAUAACUCUACUUACAUCUAGGAACAGACAAUAAAAAACCUAUACAUAUAUAUAUAUAUAAAAGCUUUAACUAUGUGGUUGCUUUGGGGAGUUAAUGUCAUGCAAACAAAAAUCUAAUGA